rnacentral:rRNA from 1 species
UACGGAGGGGGCUAGCGUUGUUCGGAAUUACUGGGCGUAAAGCGCACGUAGGCGGCUUUGUAAGUUAGAGGUGAAAGCCCAGGGCUUAACCCUGGAAUUGCCUUUAAGACUGCAUCGCUAGAAUCGUGGAGAGGUGAGUGGAAUUCCGAGUGUAGAGGUGAAAUUCGUAGAUAUUGGAAGAACACCAGUGGCGAAGGCGACUCACUGGACACGUAUUGACGCUGAGGCACGAAGGCCAGGGGAGCAACGGGAUAGAA